GCAGUGUGUGUGUCUGUAAGGGGUGCGUUGAGUGUAAGAGAUGCAUUGUGUUUCUGUGUGUGUGUGUAAGAGAUGCAGUGUGUGUUUGCAUGUGUGUGUAAGGGAUGCAUUGUGUGUUUCUGUGUAUAUGUGCAAAGGAUGCAUUGUCUUUAUGUGUAAGGGUUGCAUUGUGUGUUUCUCUGUGUGUAAGGGAAGCAUGUUGUGUUUCUG